rnacentral:rRNA from 1 species
GACGAACGCUGGCGGCGUGCUUAACACAUGCAAGUCGAACGGAAAGGCCCUGCUUUUGUGGGGUGCUCGAGUGGCGAACGGGUGAGUAACACGUGAGUAAACUGCCCUUGACUUUGGGAUAACUUCAGGAGACUGGGGCUCAUACCGGAUAGGAGCUCCUGCUGCAUGGUGGGGGUUGGAAAGUUUCGGCGGUUGGGGAUGGACUCGCGGCUUAUCCGCUUGUUGGUGGGGUAGUGGCUUACCAAGGCUUUGACGGGUAGCCGGCCUGAGAGGGUGACCGGCCACAAUGGGACUGAGAUACGGCGCAGACUCCUACGGGCGGCAGCAGUGGGGAAUAUUGCACAAUGGGCGGAAGCCUGAUGCAGCAACGCCGCGUGCGGGAUGACGGCCUUCGGGGUGUAAACCGCUUUCGCCUGUGACGAAGCGUGAGUGACGGUAAUGGGUAAAGAAGCACCGGCUAACUACGUG